rnacentral:lncRNA from 1 species
GAAGAGCGAGUGGCUGAGGAUCCUGGUGUCCAGCAGAUAGAAGUUGCUGAGCAAGAGCUCAUUCAAGGCAAGUUGUGCCCUUGAUCACUUCCUUUUUACCCAGUCAUGUUCUUAUUAAUCAUAAUGAUCUGUAGAGGUUAAUUUGAUGGGAUCCAAUAUGUUACCCUAGUUUUGGCUAUCUUUAUACCUUGUUUUACCACUAAAUUUUUGAGUAGUAUAUGUUAUUGCUUUAUGUGGUUUUGGGUAUAGAGAUAUACAUUAAUCAUGUUCACACUUUUGUUAUCAAUUUAUUAUUUAUUGUUCAUGAUAAGAUCAUUAUGUUAAUGGGAACAUGGUGAACCACCCAGGAAAACAGUGCCACCACAAGGGUGGUAUGGGACGCCCUUGGCUGACUAAUUAGGAAAGCUAGUGGAAGACUACCUUACCCGAAAGGGCAAGGGCAAUAGGGGAGUUGCAUGCAGGGAGGUUCUUGGGUUGAUUUUGUUGCGAUGGCGGUCAGACGAGGGAUUCUUGCAAGUGCUCAUCCCAUAAACUGUAGCAGGUUUUCGGAAGCUAGUGGAACUUUGUAAAGGCCUCGUAGUGGAUCCCUAGCCAUUCACCUCGGUAGUGUCUAAGGGCCUUGCAAACCCUGGCAACAUAGGAUACACGACUUGUGGGUACAGGGUACAACCUCUGCAGAGUGUAAAACUGGUAUACUAGUCAUGCUCACGGUCAUGAGCGACUCGAACACUCACAUGAUUAAUAUAUGGAAUUAAAUUCAAUUUGUCAUUUGCAUUGCAUUGGGAUUACUUUAUUAUUACUUCUAUUUAUUAUUACUAAGGUUUGGUAUUUACUUACACUUAGUAACUGCUAAUAAAAUUUUGACCAACUUAUAAAAGCAAUGCUCAGCUUCAACCCUUAUUUUGUUUAUCAGUCUUACACUUCACAUGAACUUCCACCUUUGGUGAGUUCAUGCACAUCAUUCCCCACAACUUGUUGAGCGAUGAACAUGUGUGAGCUCACCCUUGCUAUCUCACACCCCCCAUAGGAGAAGAACAUGUGGUUCAAUAGGAGCCAUACAUCGAGGAGUUCGAUUUGAUCUAGGUGGCGUCUCCCAGUUGACUUUAUGGCGCCAAGGAUGAACUUUAGAUCGUUUUAUAUUAUUAUUUUGUAAGACUUCCGCUAUGUAAUAAGUACUCUGAUUAUAUUGUGACAUUUAUCUCUA